rnacentral:rRNA from 1 species
CGAACCGAGCUUGCUCGGUAAGUCGCGAACGGCUGAGUAACACGUAAGAACUUACCCCUUGGGUGGUGAAUACCUCAUCGAAAGAUGAGCUAAUACAGCAUAAAACCGCAAGGUAAAAGCCCUUUACUGGGCGCCGAGGGAGAGGCUUGCGGCCUAUCAGUUUGUUGGUGUGGUAACGGCGCACCAAGACUACGACGGGUAGGGGACGUGAGAGCGUGACCCCCCAGAAUGGCACUGAGACACGGGCCAU